rfam:Aspergillus oryzae strain BCC7051 OAory_C14, whole genome shotgun sequence.
GUACUGGUUGAUUCUGCCAGUAGUCAUAUGCUUGUCUCAAAGAUUAAGCCAUGCAUGUCUAAGUAUAAGCACUUUAACUGUGAAACUGCGAAUGGCUCAUUAAAUCAGUUAUCGUUUAUUUGAAUAGUACCUUACUACAUGGAUACCUGUGUAAUUCUAGAGCUAAUACAUGCUAAAAACCUCGACUUCGGAAGGGUGUAUUUAUAGAUAAAAAACCAAUGCCCUUCGGGCUCCUUGGUGAUUCAUAAUAACUUAACGAAUCGCAUGCCUUGCGCCGGCGAUGGUUCAUUCAAAUUCUGCCCUAUCAACUUUCGAUGGUAGGAUAGGGCCUACCAUGGUGGCAACGGGUAACGGGAAUUAGGGUUCGAUUCCGGAGAGGGAGCCUGAGAAACGGCUACCACAUCCAAGGAAGGCAGCAGGCGCGCAAAUUACCCAAUCCCGACACGGGAGGUAGUGACAAUAAAUACUGAUACGGGCUCUUUUGGUCUCGUAAUUGAAUGAGUACAAUCUAAAUCCCUUAACGAGGAACAAUUGGAGGGCAAGUCUGGUGCCAGCACCGCGGUAAUUCCAGCUCCAAUAGCGUAUAUUAAAGUGUUGCAGUUAAAAAGCUCGUAGUUGAACCUUGGGUCUGGCUGGCCGGUCCGCCUCACCGCGAGUACUGGUCCGGCUGGACUUCCUUCUGGGAACCUCAUGGCCUUCACUGCUGUGGGGGAACCAGGACUUUACUGGAAAAAUUAGAGUUCAAAGCAGCCUUGCUCGAAUACAUUAGCAGGAAUAGAAUAGGACGUGCGGUUCUAUUUUGUUGGUUUCUAGGACCGCCGUAAUGAUUAAUAGGGAUAGUCGGGGCGUCAGUAUCAGCUGUCAGAGGUGAAAUCUGGAUUUGCUGAGACUAACUACUGCGAAAGCAUCGCCAAGGAUGUUUCAUAAUCAGGAACGAAAGUAGGGGAUCGAAGACGAUCAAUACCGUCGUAGUCUAACCUAAACAUGCCGACUAGGAUCGGCGGUGUUUCAUGAUGACCCGCUCGGCACCUACAGAAAUCAAAGUUUGGGUUCUGGGGGAGUAUGGCGCAAGGCUGAAACUUAAAGAAAUUGACGGAAGGCACCACAAGGCGUGGACCUGCGGCUUAAUUGACCAACACGGGGAAACUCACCAGUCCAGACAAAUAAGGAUUGACAGAUGAGAGCUCUUCUUGAUCUUUGGAUGGUGGUGCAUGGCCGUCUUAGUGGUGAGUGAUUGUCUGCUAAUUGCGAUACGAACGAGACCUCGGCCCUAAAUAGCCCGGUCGCGUUGCGGCCGCUGGCUUCUUAGGGGACAUCGCUCAAGCCGAUGGAAGGCGCGGCAAUAACAGGUCUGUGAUGCCUUAGAUGUCUGGCCGCACGCGCGCUACACUGACAGGGCCAGCGAGUACAUCACCUGGCCGAAGGUCCGGUAAUCUGUUAACCCUGUCGCUGGGGAUAGAGCAUGCAAUAUGCUCUUCAACGAGGAAUGCCUAGUAGGCACGAGUCAUCAGCUCGUGCCGAUUACGUCCUGCCUUUGUAACACGCCCGUCGCUACUACCGAUGAAUGGCUCGGUGAGCCUCGGACUGGCCCAGGAGGGUGGCAACGACCCCCAGGGCCGGAAAGUUGGUCAAACCCGGUCAUUUAGAGGAAGUAAAAGUCGAACAAGGUUCCGUAGGUGAACCUGCGGAAGGAUCAUUA